rnacentral:tRNA from 1 species
GUAGUUGUAGUUUAAAAAAAACGCUAGAUUGUGAUUCUAGAAAUAAAGGUUAAAACCCCUUCAUCCACC